GGCGGUGUAGCUCAGUUGGAUAGAGCACACGGUUCAUACCCGUGGCGUCGCAGGUUCAAAUCCUGCCACCGCUA
rnacentral:tRNA from 2 species